rnacentral:rRNA from 1 species
ACUCCUACGGGAGGCAGCAGUGGGGAAUAUUGCGCAAUGGGCGGAAGCCUGACGCAGCGACGCCGCGUGGGGAUGACGGCCUUCGGGUUGUAAACCUCUUUCGCCAGGGACGAAGCUUUUGUGACGGUACCUGGAGAAGAAGCACCGGCCAACUACGUGCCAGCAGCCGCGGUAACACGUAGGGUGCGAGCGUUGUCCGGAAUUAUUGGGCGUAAAGAGCUCGUAGGCGGUGUGUCGCGUCGGCCGUGAAAACUUGGGGCUUAACUCUGAGCGUGCGGUCGAUACGGGCAUCACUUGAGUUCGGCAGGGGAGACUGGAAUUCCUGGUGUAGCGGUGAAAUGCGCAGAUAUCAGGAGGAACACCGGUGGCGAAGGCGGGUCUCUGGGCCGAUACUGACGCUGAGGAGCGAAGCAUGGGGAGCGAACAGGAUUAGAUACCCUGGUAGGCGUAG